GGGGCUGCACUGGUUUCGACGUGGAUUGGAAUCGCUGUGGUGCAUGUCGAGCUGAAUGUGCUCGUAAAACAGAUUCAAACAAACUAACUGCAAACGACGAACGUUUCGCACUCGCUGCUUAAUAACCAGUGAGCCUUACAACGGCAGGCCGAUGGGCCGGGCAAGGGUGGCGCAAGCUGUCCAGGCUGUAAGGUCAUUUACAUCGGCUGGCUUUUUACCGGGUACCUUGGUGAGAGGCGAGAAAGUAGGGUACUGGCGUCCGGCAUAGCGUGCGACUGCGCGAUUCCGGUGGCGAGACUCAAAUCAGACCGCUAAACAUGUAGAUCUGCUCGAGGAAGUUUUGCGGACGGGGGUUCAAAUCCCCCCAGCUCCACCA
rnacentral:tmRNA from 1 species